CUUGGUAGUAAGAGGGGAAUAUUGGCAAGAAGAAGACUGUCCUUUGGUGGGAGAAGACAUAUUUUAACAUGGCAUUAUGGGAAGGAGGCUGCCGUUCCAUGUGGCAGCCAUCUUAAGGUGCAGAGCAAUAGGGGAAGGAGGAGGCUGCUAUUUGAUGUAGCAGUCAUUUUAAGUGCAAGACGCCCUGUCAAGCAAAGCUCUUACCUUCCUGCAAGCCACCUACAGAGACAUUCAUGUCAAAGCCUGUGAAAACUUCCUAACCUGAGAAAAAUGACAAGAGUAUAAAUUUCAGCCAAAAUUCAUGGAACAAUGAGGACGAAGGUAAACAUCUAUUUAGCCUGUUACCAAUGCUCAGUAGUUUGGAAAAACUGAAGAAAUCAGGUGACAUCAUAAGGAAAACUUCAUAACAAAAAAGUUAUAGUGAAAAUAGAGCAAAGAAUAGUCCAAAAACUUCUACAAUCUAUGAAACUUCAGAGUUAAUCAAUUUGGCUCCAGGAAGUAAUAAAGAAUAAAAUUCUGCAAAC
rnacentral:lncRNA from 1 species